AACGAACGCUGGCGGCAGGCUUAACACAUGCAAGUCGAGCGCCUCGCAAGGGGAGCGUCAGACGGGUGAGUAACGCGUGGGAAUCUACCCAUCUCUACGGAAUAAUGCAUGGAAACGCGUGCUAAUAUCGUAUACGUCCUUCGGGAGAAAGAUUUAUCGGGGAUGGAUGAGACCGCGUUGGAUUAGCUAGUUGGUGGGGUAAAGGCCUACCAAGGCGACGGUCCAUAGCUGGUCUGAGAGGAUGAUCAGCCACACUGGGACUGAGACACGGCCCAGACUCCUACGGGAGGCAGCAGUGGGGAAUAUUGGACAAUGGGCGCAAGCCUGAUCCAGCCAUGCCGCGUGAGUGAUGAAGGCCCUAGGGUUGUAAAGCUCUUUCACCGGUGAAGAUAAUGACGGUAACCGGAGAAGAAGCCCCGGCUAACUUCGUGCCAGCCGCCGCCGUAAAAC
rnacentral:rRNA from 1 species